UUAAGCGACUAAGCGUACACGGUGGAUGCCUAGGCAGUCAGAGGCGAUGAAGGGCGUGCUAAUCUGCGAAAAGCGUCGGUAAGCUGAUAUGAAGCGUUAUAACCGACGAUACCCGAAUGGGGAAACCCAGUGCAAUACGUUGCACUAUCGUUAGAUGAAUACAUAGUCUAACGAGGCGAACCGGGGGAACUGAAACAUCUAAGUACCCCGAGGAAAAGAAAUCAACCGAGAUUCCCCCAGUAGCGGCGAGCGAACGGGGAGGAGCCCAGAGUCUGAAUCAGUUUGUGUGUUAGUGGAAGCGUCUGGAAAGUCGCACGGUACAGGGUGAUAGUCCCGUACACCAAAAUGCACAGGCUGUGAACUCGAUGAGUAGGGCGGGACACGUGACAUCCUGUCUGAAUAUGGGGGGACCAUCCUCCAAGGCUAAAUACUCCUGACUGACCGAUAGUGAACCAGUACCGUGAGGGAAAGGCGAAAAGAACCCCGGCGAGGGGAGUGAAAUAGAACCUGAAACCGUGUACGUACAAGCAGUGGGAGCACCUUCGUGGUGUGACUGCGUACCUUUUGUAUAAUGGGUCAGCGACUUAUAUUUUGUAGCAAGGUUAACCGAAUAGGGGAGCCGUAGGGAAACCGAGUCUUAACUGGGCGUCUAGUUGCAAGGUAUAGACCCGAAACCCGGUGAUCUAGCCAUGGGCAGGUUGAAGGUUGGGUAACACUAACUGGAGGACCGAACCGACUAAUGUUGAAAAAUUAGCGGAUGACUUGUGGCUGGGGGUGAAAGGCCAAUCAAACCGGGAGAUAGCUGGUUCUCCCCGAAAGCUAUUUAGGUAGCGCCUCGUGAACUCAUCUUCGGGGGUAGAGCACUGUUUCGGCUAGGGGGCCAUCCCGGCUUACCAAACCGAUGCAAACUCCGAAUACCGAAGAAUGUUAUCACGGGAGACACACGGCGGGUGCUAACGUCCGUCGUGAAGAGGGAAACAACCCAGACCGCCAGCUAGGGUCCCAAAGUCAUGGUUAAGUGGGAAACGAUGUGGGAAGGCACAGACAGCCAGGAUGUUGGCUUAGAAGCAGCCAUCAUUUAAAGAAAGCGUAAUAGCUCACUGGUCGAGUCGGCCUGCGCGGAAGAUGUAACGGGGCUAAACCAUGCACCGAAGCUGCGGCAGCGACACUUAGGUGUUGUUGGGUAGGGGAGCGUUCUGUAAGCCGUUGAAGGUGACCUGUGAGGGUUGCUGGAGGUAUCAGAAGUGCGAAUGCUGACAUAAGUAACGAUAAUGCGGGUGAAAAACCCGCACGCCGGAAGACCAAGGGUUCCUGUCCAACGUUAAUCGGGGCAGGGUGAGUCGACCCCUAAGGCGAGGCUGAAAAGCGUAGUCGAUGGGAAACAGGUUAAUAUUCCUGUACUUGGUGUUACUGCGAAGGGGGGACGGAGAAGGCUAGGCUGGCCGGGCGACGGUUGUCCCGGUUUUAAGCGUGUAGGGGGAGUGACCAGGUAAAUCCGGUUGCUUAUCAACCCUGAGGCGUGAUGACGAUGCACCACGGUGCAGAAGCAGUUGAUGCCAUGCUUCCAGGAAAAGCCUCUAAGCAUCAGGUAACAUUAAAUCGUACCCCAAACCGACACAGGUGGUCAGGUAGAGAAUACUCAGGCGCUUGAGAGAACUCGGGUGAAGGAACUAGGCAAAAUGGUGCCGUAACUUCGGGAGAAGGCACGCUGGCGUUAGGUGAAAGGACUAGCUCCUGGAGCUGAAGCCAGUCGCAGAUACCAGCUGGCUGCAACUGUUUAAUAAAAACACAGCACUGUGCAAACACGAAAGUGGACGUAUACGGUGUGACGCCUGCCCGGUGCUGGAAGGUUAAUUGAUGGGGUCAGCCGCAAGGCGAAGCUCUUGAUCGAAGCCCCAGUAAACGGCGGCCGUAACUAUAACGGUCCUAAGGUAGCGAAAUUCCUUGUCGGGUAAGUUCCGACCUGCACGAAUGGCGUAAUGAUGGCCAGGCUGUCUCCACCCGAGACUCAGUGAAAUUGAACUCGCUGUGAAGAUGCAGUGUACCCGCGGCAAGACGGAAAGACCCCGUGAACCUUUACUAUAGCUUGACACUGAACAUUGAGCCUUGAUGUGUAGGAUAGGUGGGAGGCCUUGAAGUGUGGACGCCAGUCUGCAUGGAGCCAACCUUGAAAUACCACCCUUUAAUGUUUGAUGUUCUAACUCGGCCCCAUGAUCUGGGGUGAGGACAGUGUCUGGUGGGUAGUUUGACUGGGGCGGUCUCCUCCCAAAGAGUAACGGAGGAGCACGAAGGUUAGCUAAUCACGGUCGGACAUCGUGAGGUUAGUGCAAAGGCAUAAGCUAGCUUGACUGCGAGAGUGACGGCUCGAGCAGGUACGAAAGUAGGUCUUAGUGAUCCGGUGGUUCUGAAUGGAAGGGCCAUCGCUCAACGGAUAAAAGGUACUCCGGGGAUAACAGGCUGAUACCGCCCAAGAGUUCAUAUCGACGGCGGUGUUUGGCACCUCGAUGUCGGCUCAUCACAUCCUGGGGCUGAAGUAGGUCCCAAGGGUAUGGCUGUUCGCCAUUUAAAGUGGUACGCGAGCUGGGUUUAGAACGUCGUGAGACAGUUCGGUCCCUAUCUGCCGUGGGCGUUGGAAGAUUGAGAGGGGCUGCUCCUAGUACGAGAGGACCGGAGUGGACGAAUCACUGGUGUUCGGGUUGUCAUGCCAAUGGCAUUGCCCGGUAGCUAAAUUCGGAAGAGAUAACCGCUGAAAGCAUCUAAGCGGGAAACUUGCCUCGAGAUGAGUCUUCCCUGGGGCUUAAAGCCCCCUGAAGGAACGUUAAAGACUAUGACGUUGAUAGGCUGGGUGUGUAAGUGCAGCGAUGUAUUGAGCUAACCAGUACUAAUGAUCCGUGAGGCUUAACCUU
rnacentral:rRNA from 1 species